GCCAGGCACAGUGGCACGUGCCUGUAGUCCCAGCUAUUUGGGAGACCGAGGCUGGAGGAUCUCUUGAGUCCAGGAGUCCUGGGCUGUAGUGCGCUAUGCCCAUCGGGUGUCUGCACUAAGUUCGGCAUCAAUAUGGUGACCUCCCAGGAGUGGGGGACCACCAGGUUGCCUAAGGUGGGGUGAACCGGCCCAGGUUGGAAACGGAGCAGGUCAAAACUCCCGUGCUGAUCAGUAGUGGGAUCAUGACUGUGAAUAGCAACUGCACUCCAGCCUGGGCAACAUAGUGAGACCCUGUCUCU
rnacentral:SRP_RNA from 1 species